rnacentral:rRNA from 1 species
CAUGCCCUAAACGUUGAUUACUCGUUGUUGGCGAUACACUGUCAGCGACUAAGCGAAAGCGUUAAGUAAUCCACCUGGGGAGUACGAUCGCAAGGUUGAAACUCAAAGGAAUUGACGGGGGCCCGCACAAGCGGUGGAGCAUGUGGUUUAAUUCGAUGAUACGCGAGGAACCUUACCAGGGCUUGAAAGUUAGUGACCGCUGCCGAAAGGUGGCUUCCCUUCGGGGCACGAAACUAGGUGC